UACAGAGGGUGCGAGCGUUAAUCGGAGUUACUGGGCGUAAAGGGCGCGUAGGCGGUUAUUUAAGUGAGAUGUGAAAUCCCUGGGCUUAACCUAGGAACUGCAUCUCAUACUGAAUAGCUAGAGUAUUGUAGAGGGUAGUGGAAUUUCCGGUGUAGCGGUGAAAUGCGUAGAGAUCGGAAGGAACACCAGUGGCGAAGGCGGCUACCUGGACAAAUACUGACGCUGAGGCGCGAAAGCGUGGGGAGCAAACAGG
rnacentral:rRNA from 1 species